GAUGAACGCUGGCGGCGUGCUUAACACAUGCAAGUCGAACGGAAAGGCCCAAGCUUGCUUGGGUACUCGAGUGGCGAACGGGUGAGUAACACGUGGGUGAUCUGCCCUGCACUUCGGGAUAAGCCUGGGAAACUGGGUCUAAUACCGGAUAGGACGAUGGUUUGGAUGCCAUUGUGGAAAGUUUUUUCGGUGUGGGAUGAGCUCGCGGCCUAUCAGCUUGUUGGUGGGGUAAUGGCCUACCAAGGCGUCGACGGGUAGCCGGCCCGAGAGUGUGUACGGCCACAUUGGGACUGAGACUGGGCCCAGACGCCUACGGGAGGGAGCAGUAGGGGAUAGUGCACAAGGGGCGCAAGCCUGAGGCAGCGACGCCGCGGGGGGGAGGACGGCCUUCGGGUUGUAAACGCCUUGCGCUAGGGACGAAGCGUUUUGUGACGGUACCUGGAGAAGAAGCACCGGCUAACUACGUG
rnacentral:rRNA from 1 species